rnacentral:lncRNA from 1 species
ACCUGAACUGUUGGUCCAUGGCUCUAAAGGGAGGUAUUCAAGCUUCAGACAUUAUAUGACCUGACAAUCUCGAGGAUGCCAGGAUGUGGAAGGUUGAAGUUUGCUUAUUAACUGAGACAGCAAGAGAUAUGCAAGCCAGGUUUGAAAUUCCAGUCAUGGUUGAUUUGGAGUCGUCAUGCAUUAUGCUGCUGAACCAGCAAUCCAUAUCGACACUGGGACACAACCCAGACAUUGUGUGAUGUCUCUCCACACCCCAUGGUGCAAUGGUUAAACUGCAGUACUCCAGUCAAGCUUCUCCUCACAAUAUGAGUUCGAUUCAGGAAGCUGGCUCAAGGUUGACUCAUCUCCUCACAAUAUGAGUUCGAUCCCGAGAUUCAGGAAGCUGGCUCAAGGUUGACUCAGCCCUCUAUCCAUUUGAGGUCAGUAAA